CCUGCCACAAGCGGGAUUUUGUGCACAGAGGUGACUGUGAGCCGUCUUCGGGUCGGCCGGUCACGGUACUUGAGAGGGAGGCCUACUUCUCAGUACCUUUAAUGAUGAGUAGUGGAUGUGGUACAUACAUGAUGAAUGUUUAAACUGCGCAGUUACUUAUUUAUGAUGUUGAUUAUGAAAACCGCAUGCACAGAUUCAUUGAUACUAACUUAUUUCUGUGUAUUGCUGAGAUGUGGCAAGCUUCAAACUUAUAGCUCUAAGAGCGCCUUUCUUGUUUUUCGGCGUUUGCCCACUGAGUAUUAUAUACUCACGCCCUGCAUGUAUUUCUAAAUGUGCAGGCUAAGCGAGGAG
rnacentral:lncRNA from 1 species